rfam:Turicibacter sanguinis PC909 contig00099, whole genome shotgun sequence.
CUCUUAUCAAGAGCGGCGGAGGGACAGGCCCUGUGAUGCCCGGCAACCAUCAAUUAAUGAUACGGUGCCAAUUCCUGCAGAUUUUUAUCUGACAGAUGAGAG